rnacentral:tRNA from 1 species
UAGCUCAGUGGUCGAGCUUCGGCUUUGGAAGCCACAGGUCGGUGGUUCGAUUCCACC